rnacentral:rRNA from 1 species
AACGAACGCUGGCGGCAUGCCUAACACAUGCAAGUCGAACGAAGGCUUCGGCCUUAGUGGCGCACGGGUGCGUAACGCGUGGGAAUCUGCCCUUUGGUUCGGAAUAACAGCUGGAAACGGCUGCUAAUACCGGAUGAUGACGAAAGUCCAAAGAUUUAUCGCCAGAGGAUGAGCCCGCGUUGGAUUAGGUAGUUGGUGGGGUAAAGGCCUACCAAGCCGACGAUCCAUAGCUGGUCUGAGAGGAUGAUCAGCCACACUGGGACUGAGACACGGCCCAGACUCCUACGGGAGGCAGCAGUGGGGAAUAUUGGACGAUGGGCGCAAGCCUGGUCCAGCAAUGCCGCGUGAGUGAUGAAGGCCCUAGGGUUGUAAAGCUCUUUUACCCGGGAAGAUAAUGACUGUACCGGGAGAAGAAGCCCCGGCUAACUCCGUG